CAAUUUUUUGAAGGUAAGCACCCAUCCAAUUUUUGGAUCAUGGAUGUAUGACAAAUCAAUCCAUAUAUUCCAAAGAAAGGGAAGGGAAAGGAUAAAGUGGUUACAAAGUACAUCCACGUGAACUGAAUCUGAAGCCAAGGUGUAAACCUUGCCAUGUUCCAUAGUAGCCGGACGUAGGCUCAAGCCUCAGGAGGAUCACCGGGCAUGCGUACUGUCUGCAGAUCAACAUGCAUGCAAUAUACGUAAGAGAGAGGUUAGUUACAUCAGGUGCAUAAUGUAUUAGACCCCCAACAGCCGUCAGGAUCUCCAAAACAGCAAGGCGAGGUCUCAGGGAUUCGGGCAAGAAGACACAUACGCUGACCAAGCAAAGGUUGAGAGAGAGAGUAGGGGUUGAAGACACAUCUCGGCCGUGCUGCCUCACUUGGGACAAUGCCAUCCCAUUACAUAAGCAAACUUUACCAAAACCUACUCUUGUGGGCAAUGGUGCAAGUACAUUAUGAAGAAAAAUAGCUCUGAAGCUGGAUGAUGGAUUGCCCAGCCAAUGCUUUUUUGCCAUGGAUCAGAUGGUAUAUACCCACAAUCCGGAAGCAUGUUUAUUACUUCCUAACAUUGGCUGGAUGCACCCACAAUCCGGAAGCAUGUUGAUUACUUCCUAACAUUGGCUGGAUGCACACGUACUGACGUACAAGAGGACUUGAUGGAAUCUUACCGGAUGGAAAAACGCCCACAAGCAAAACAUGCACGAUUUCAUCAUGAAGGAAUUAAAUCUAGCUUGCUUCGUCGUCUUGCUGGUAGUACUACAUAUGCUUGUGGGCCGGUGCCAAAAGAGGUUGCAGGUUCGCGCUUAUCCGCGGGUCAGGUUGACAUUCUAGGGUACAAAAUAAAGGCCAUAGAGCACACUCACUUGAUCAGUGUAUUCAGCAAGAUACUCCUAGAGUCCCAAUACGCUGGACUACAGGAGAAGUGCCAACCAUUGGUACCACAAGACAAUGGGUACGAUAACAAGCAAGAAUCGGCUGUGAAGCAAGCAACAACAUGGUGGAGAAACGAGCUCCUGGAUUUUCUGGCCAAGCACAUCAACUAACUCACCAUCAUAGUUCAUCAACCUAACGCAAACCCUCAAUUUCUUAACGUUUGUUAUGUAUUUUUCUAGCAUUAGAUCGAAACAGUGGUCUUGGGGAACUAUUGUAAAAGAAACUUUUGUUCUGUUAGAUACUACUUAAUG